CGAGCCCCACAGGUUUUUGGAACUCCACAAAUAAAGUGCCUGGAAGGGCACAGAGCACAAAAUCUGUAAAAGCAACCCACGAUGAAGCAUGCUACAAGAGAUUUGGGAAUGGGAGACAAAGAUAGUCGCAUUAACUUGAGUUGAAGAAAGCAAGCUUCAUGGAAGAGGAAGGCCUUGCACAGGGGAUUUCCAGUGGAGAGGGAGGCUGGUUUCCUGCUGCUCUUUGUGCACUGAGGAGAGGCCGUGACUACGGAGGUGCUGGGCAGGCCCUGGGCUUCUGCCGCUGGCUGCCACAGGAGCAGGAGGGAGAUCACCACCCCCUGGAGCCAGCUCCAAGCACAGAGAGCUGUGGGCAGAUGAUGGAGGGAGGCCUGUCACAGCCAGAAGUCACCGCCAGCAGCUGGCCUCCUCGGCACGGGGCUGGGCUCCAUCAUGGGAUGCUCCAGGCCCCAACACCGUGCUGGGAUCCAAAGUUGCAAAGUGUGUGGGAAAAGUUGUCAACAGAAGGGGCCGGUGGCAAGGCGAGAGGUAGCCUGGCAGCCCCAGGGCACCAAUUCCUCUGGUCAUGGCCUAACCAAGCACCAAGGAGGGCAGCAGAGGCCCAUUUUAUUCUGUUAGUACAGGGAGGUAGGCAUCGUUUUAGGGCUCUGUAUAAGUAUUCCCCUCAGCACCUGAGACAGAGGAGGAAAAGAGCAGUAGCUUCUCUCAUACGUUUCCAAAAUUUUCCAUUUCCAUAGAGAAGCAGGCUGAAGUUUACCAUGAUUUACGUGUUGUUGCAAACAUUUUAGUGGAAGUGAGCUAUUUUUCCCAAGCAAUUAAAAAGAUCAAAUUCUUCUAAUUACUAUGGAAACAAUUUCCUGCAGGCACUCCCUACAUACACCGUUAGGAAAACUGCUUUUCUCCAGUUAGAGCUGGCUAAUCAUCAUGUGUCAGUUAACUUAUUUCUCUUCCACAUAUACAUACUUAUUUUCUUGGAGAAAAUAUUGUGAUCCUUUAUAUUCUCUCAGUAUAAUAGCCAUUCCUAUCAAUGGAUGAGCUACAAUUGCUACCACUCAGGAAGAAAGGAAUGCAAAUGAGGAAUACCAAUUAACCUCUUUACAAUUAAAAAUAUCUCUAUCUAUUAUAGCACCCAUUAGUGAUACUCUAGUUAAUGGUCUGUCAACAUUUCCAUUAGACCUUUUCCCCCUGCUCCCACACAGAACUAAAUCCUAGCUAAUCACCUUGAAUAUACCUCUAUGGAUUUACACAAUAGAGAUACACAGCUCAAAUGAGAAUCUCAAUACAGAUUCUGUUAUCUUGAGCCAUUACAUUCUCUUAAGUACCUGUUUUCUAAUGUAUCAGUCUGAAUACUCUGUCCUGUGAAUACACUAAAUUUUACAAGAUGAUGAUUCCCUGCCCCCCGCUCCGCAAUGUUACAGCUACUUCAUGUAUCAAACCCUCCCCAACUGCAAAGAUUUAAAUAUAUUAUAUUAUGUUUAAGACAAUAUAUUGUCCUAAAUACACACUCUGAAAAUUGUAGGGUGAAAGUGUGUUCACAGCAGAUUCCUUUUGUCCAAUAUAAUUCACAUCAUA